UGUGGGUUAGCCGAAAACCACCAAACAGAGUAGGCA
rfam:Niastella yeongjuensis strain 17621 contig12, whole genome shotgun sequence.